rnacentral:rRNA from 1 species
AACGAACGCUGGCGGCAUGCCUAACACAUGCAAGUCGAACGAGACCUUCGGGUCUAGUGGCGCACGGGGGCGUCACACGUGGGAAGCUUCCCUUUGCUUCGGAAUAACAGUUAGAAAUGACUGCUAAUACCGGAUGAUGUCGAAAGACCAAAGAUUUAUCGGCACAGGAUGAGCCCGCGUAGGAUUAGGUAGUUGGUGGGGUAAAGGCCUACCAAGCCGACGAUCCUUAGCUGGGCUGAGAGGAUGAUCAGCCACACUGGGACUGAGACACGGCCCAGACUCCUACGGGAGGGAGCAGUAGGGAAUAUUGGAAAAUGGGCGAAAGCCUGAUCCAGCAAUGCCGCGUGAGUGAUGAAGGCCUUAGGGUAGUAAAGCUCUUUUAACAGGGAUGAUAAUGACAGUAACUGGAGAAUAAGCCCCGGCUAACUCCGUG